AUCUGCUUCAUGUAUUCUGUAUUUUUUUAUAUUCUUCACCAAAUGGUUCUCUCCUGUGUUUGAAUUCCUCCCUUCUUCAGUCUGCAUCUGCUUGAGGGGUGCUUAGUAUCUCUUUUAUUGAUCUUCUUAUAUCUUGCUUUAUUUGGCUAAAUAUCUCACUUUUGAACUCAUCUAUGAGGUCUCGAAUAUAUCUCUUUAUGUCCACUGGUUUUGUGUCUGAUAUUGCAUGUUUGCUGUUCUCAUUCUCCUUUGUAUUUACCUGUCCUGGGUCAAUGUUAUCAAGGUUGGAGCCUGGGGACUUCCUCUUCCCAUCUUUUCUUUGCUUCUUCCAGGAGGCCCCAGUUUCUUUCUUUGUUGGUUACAAUUCUUCUGAAGUGCGCUGGCUAGAUGACCUUUCACACUGCAGUGUGUUAGUGAGUUGCAGACAGAGAUUACAUAUGCUGGCUCCUCCCCUCCAGUUUAGUCAAGCUGCUGUGGCCAGCACUACUGUAUUACUUUGUGCUGCCUCCCUCCAGACCAGUCACUGGGCCAGUAUGUGCCACCGCUGCAGGAACUUGAUCUCAGAUAACCUAUUGGUUCUCAGCCAGGUCACGUGACCCAGGUCUAGCUCACUCCACCAAUCCUCUUUGGGAAGGGAACAAUUGUUGAAGUCACUGCUGCCCCUUAUACUUGUCAGUUCUGCCCGAUCCCAGAAUGUGUCUGCCAGGGCCCCGCUAUUUAUAGAAUGGCUCCACUCCUGUCACUCAACACAGCUCAAUAUAGGCUCCACGCCAACUCAGCUCUCCAUUUGGCUCACUGACUCCAGAAUUCAAUGUAACUGUGUGCCUCCAAGUGAGUAGAAGCAGCAGGACUUCAGACGGCUCAGCAAGUCACAGCGGGACCCUGGCAAGUUGCGGCGGGACCCCUAGCCAGUCACGGGGGGACCCUGGCCAGUCGCAGGGGGGGCCUCAGCAAGUCACAGUGGGAACUCAGCCAGUUGUGGCAGGACCCCAGCAAAUCACAGCGUCAGCAAAUCACAGCGUCAACCAGUCGCAGUGGGACCUCAGAUGGAAGCUGAGGAGCAUCUGCCACUUGUGAUGUGGGGACUUAGUGUGGAAGGCCAAUCUAGGAAUGGAGGAAUCAUCUACCUAGGGCUGGAUCUAACAGAAGCCAUCCCCUCCCACAUGGAGACAGAUAGCAAAUGCCAACCAAAUGGUGCUCAGAUAUGUGAAACAAUAAAGAUUCUUGCAUUGGUUUGAUUUCAGA